rnacentral:siRNA from 1 species
UAGGUCAGUUAAGCAAUGAUGUC